GAUAAGAAUACAUAGCUGAAAUAACAGCAAUAGUUGGUCCUUUUUCUAUCCAAGGAUCAACUAUGCCCCCAAACAACACAACAUCCAAAGGUGAGGAGAUAGAAGGGAACAUGAGAAAAAAUUGUGACAAUAUGCUAAGGCUAGCAUCAUGUAAUUUGAAGAUAGCACAAUCAUCAAUUGUUCAUUGGCCUCUUAGGACACCAUAUUGUCUCCUGACUUAGAACUACCACAUAGCUUAUUCACCUGAAUAUAGAAUGUAAGUUUGUUUGCUAGAGGUCAUGGAGUCAUGGUACCAUGGUUCAUCUGAGAUUGUGUCCAUAGCAUUGUAUAGGCCAUUGACUGAAUUUCUUGCUGCUCAUGGAGGGUAAUAUUUGUUUGUUGAUCUAGAAUAAUUGUAUUUGGAAUUAAUAUAUUUCGCAUAUAAAACAUCUGUAAAGUAUGAUGAAUCUAGAAUAUUUGUUUGUUGAUGAUCUGGGUUGGGAUAGUACAACAUUGCUGUAAUUUGAUAUCUACCCCAUAGAAUAUAUGUGAUAUUUCUAACCUAGAGAAUAUCAAAUUUGGGCUUUCUGGUUUGCUCAAGACCAAUUCUGGAUUAUUGUAAUUUGUCAUUAUAGGAUGCAUUCCAUGGUAAAAACAAACUACAUGGUCUAAUGUUAACCACUGUAAAUAAAUUUGCUACCAUUUACAAGCUCUGUUCUUGAUCUGUUACUUGCAAGUCUUGAGAGCAGAUAAUAUAUGGGUUGUUUGUGUAUGCCUUAGUGCAGCUCUGGUUUUCCACUGAGAGCAGAUGUUAUCCUUCCUGUCUUUAAUUCUUUAGGGGUCAGUGCAAAAAAAUGUCAGCUCAUCAUUUAUUGAUAGUUUGUGAAUGAUGACACCAAUGCUUCAUUUUUCUGUAGCCUCCCAUGGUUACCUGAGCAUUUUGCGGGCCAGGUUGGGCCAAAAAAAACCGCGGUUAUGUAUCACUGUUAGUUUCAUUAUUUCCUUUUUAAGAAAGAAGUGCAGGUUCAUAAUUAAGGCACAGUUUUGCUAAGUUUUCCAGUUAUUUAGUUCAUAUAUAGUUAUAGAAUGUCCUUAUUUUGUCUUCUUACUGCAGGGUGUUGCUUAGUGUGUGGGCUAUAUAUAUAUUUGUAUCACAUCUAUGUGAAAUCUCUGAAUAAUGAAAAUAGUCUCAUUUGCUGUCAAAAUAAAAUUAGUGGAACUUUUCGGUCUCUUAUUUCAUAUUAAAUUGGUGUGUUUAUGACAACGUAGAUUGCCUGGUUUGAACAUCGUACAACUUGUGGAAGAGGUAAUAUUGCAAGGACUGCUAUGGAUCGCAGCGGUGGUGGUGGCGAAAAUGGAUGCGGACAAGCUGUACCUUCUACUUUGGCACUGGAGGGAGUCAGCCGAGAUGAGGGGGGCAACCGUCCUUGCUGCCAAGCGUGUGAAAGCAUUAGCCCGAAAAGCCCACUGUUGUAUGGAAUCGGCAUUCUGUUGGUCAUGCCACUAAAGACACUGUAUGGUGUGGGUCGUGUUUUUGGUGCUGAGUGGUUCCUCUCCAACAUGACCAGCGUCUCGUCGUCGUUGCAAAUUAAGCUUGUAAGUGGUCUGAAAUACCUGUGUGACUUCUAGCUAGCUAUUGAGUACUUAAGGCUUAAUGCUUAUUAAUA